rnacentral:lncRNA from 1 species
UGCAAUGAAGAGUGAAAGUGGAGAUGCGCAACGAAUCGUGGUAUUGUGAUGAUGAAGAGUUCGUGAUGAUGAAUGAAAAAGUGAAGGUACCAAACUCUUUUUGAAACUUUGUUUGCUCUUCUCCGCCUAUAAUUUUCGUUUUUAUGAUCGUGUUACUCGGUUGUUAUGAGGGUUGAAAAAGUUGUUAGUUGGUUCAGGAAAUUGGAGGUGGUUGGAGAGUUCUUGAAGUGUUUGUUAAGGGUUCUGAAGGUGAAAGUUAGAAGUUGGAGGUAUCAAGGUUCAGGUGAAUUUAGCUAUGUUGGAAUGAAGGGAAGGUUAGAGAGGAGGUUGGAUUUCUGUUAUCGUUUUGUGAAGUCAAGUUGGGGAUAUUUGUGCCAUUCGGUUCAGGAGGUUGGGAUUUUGGAAUUCAAUUUUGAGUUGUUGGAGGGAAGUUGAGAAUUGGUUAGGGAAGGUUUUUUUGGGUAGCAAGGUGAUUGUGUUAUCAAUUGGAGGUUGAAGGUGUUCUUGGGAGAAGUCUUGUUGAAGGUUCAGUUAGUUUUUGACCGGUUAGUUCAAGAGGGUUUGCCCGUUAUAUUAAUGGUUAUGUUUUCCCAUUUUAUGCAGGUUUUUUUGGUGGUUUGUGCAGGUUAGAAGAGAUUUUCAUGUCUGUAUUCGUUUCUGUUUUUGAUUCCCGUUUUCAAGUCUGAUGUGGUGGGCUCUAGAGGUUAGGAUUCAGUUCGAAUGUGGAGGCUUUGGAG